AGAACAGAUUCAUGGGUGAUUUAGCCUAUCUGUCCCAGGCCAGGGCGGCUGAGUGUGCUGGCUGGAGGCCUCUCUCUCUGCUUCGAGGGUAGCUGAGAUCCACCCCGGAAACCGGCAGGAUGAAGGGGGCAAGUGAGGAGAAGCUGGCAUCUGUGUCCAACCUGGUCACUGUGUUUGAGAAUAGCAGGACCCCAGAAGCAGCACCCAGAGGCCACAGGCUAGAGGACGUGCAUCACCGCCCUGAGUGCAGGCCUCCCGAGUCCCCAGGACCACGGGAGAAGACGAAUGUCGGGGAGGCCGUGGGGUCUGAGCCCAGGACAGUCAGCAGGAGGUACCUGAACUCCCUGAAGAACAAGCUGUCCAGCGAAGCCUGGAGGAAAUCUUGCCAGCCUGUGACCCUCUCAGGAUCGGGGACGCAGGAGCCAGAGAAGAAGAUCGUCCAGGAGCUGCUGGAGACAGAGCAGGCCUAUGUGGCGCGCCUCCACCUGCUAGACCAGGUGUUUUUCCAGGAGCUGCUGAAGACAGCCCGCAGCAGCAAGGCCUUCCCAGAGGAUGUGGUCAGGGUCAUCUUCUCCAACAUCUCCUCCAUCUAUCAGUUCCAUUCUCAGUUCUUCCUCCCAGAGCUGCAGCGGCGCCUGGACGACUGGACAGCUAACCCCCGCAUCGGUGACGUGAUCCAGAAGCUGGCCCCCUUCCUGAAGAUGUACAGUGAGUAUGUCAAGAACUUUGAGCGAGCGGCUGAGCUGCUGGCCACCUGGACCGACAAGUCUCCACUCUUCCAGGAGGUUCUCACUCGCAUCCAGGUGAGGCUGGGGGAGGGCUGGAGUCAGCAUUGCACUCCCAGCAUGCAGUGGCUCAGGUUGCCUUGAGUGAUUCCGGGCAUCUCCCAGGCUCAGCUGCUUCCAUAGGCCCCUGCCUACUCGUCUGGCCCUCAGGAGCAGCCUGACCCACCUCCCUUCUCUCACCCUCUCCGUGUUGCUCCCCCAUCCCUCCCCAAGAGCAGCGAGGCUUCGGGCAGCCUGACCCUGCAGCACCACAUGCUGGAACCAGUGCAGAGAAUUCCACGUUACGAGCUGCUGCUCAAGGAGUACAUCCAGAAGCUGCCAGCCCAGGCCCCAGACCAGGCCGAUGCCCAGAGACCUCCUGCCCCAGCCACCAGCCCUAGAUUCUCAGGGAAUAAACUCCAGCCCUGCCCCUUUCAGAAGCCCUGGACAUGAUCUUCUCAGCUGCCCAGCACUCCAAUGCAGCCAUCACUGAGAUGGAGCGGCUGCAGGACCUGUGGGAGGUGUACCAGCGCCUGGGCCUCGAGGACGACAUAGUAGACCCCUCUAACACCCUGCUCCGUGAGGGCCCGGUCCUCAAGAUCUCCUUCCGCCGCAACGACCCCAUGGAGCGCUACCUUUUCUUGUUCAACAACAUGCUGCUCUACUGUGUGCCCAGGGUGAUCCAGGUGGGCGCCCAGUUCCAGGUGAGGACCCGCAUCGAUGUGGCCGGGAUGAAGGUGCGGGAGCUGAUGGAUGCUGAGUUUCCCCACUCCUUCCUGGUGUCCGGGAAGCAGCGCACCCUGGAGCUGCAAGCCCGGUCCCAGGAGGAAAUGAUUUCCUGGAUGCAGGCCUUCCAAGCAGCCAUUGACCAAAUCGAGAAGCGGAAUGAAACCUUCAAGGCUGCGGCCCAGGGGCCUGAGGGAGACACCCAGGAGCAGGAGCUGCAGUCUGAGGAGCUGGGCCUCCGGGCACCGCAGUGGGUCCGGGACAAGAUGGUGACCAUGUGCAUGCGCUGCCAGGAGCCCUUCAACGCUCUGACGCGCCGUCGCCACCACUGCCGGGCCUGCGGCUAUGUGGUGUGUGCCAGGUGCUCCGACUACCGGGCCGAACUGAAAUACGACGACAACAGGCCCAACCGAGUCUGCCUCCACUGCUACGCAUUCCUCACUGGAAAUGUGCUGCCUGAGGCCAAGGAGGACAAGAGGCGGGGCAUCCUGGAGAAAGGGUCCUCAGCCACGCCUGACCAGAGCCUGAUGUGCAGCUUCCUGCAGCUCAUCGGGGACAAGUGGGGCAAGAGCGGCCCCCGGGGCUGGUGUGUGAUCCCUCGGGAUGACCCCCUCGUGCUCUAUGUCUACGCUGCCCCUCAGGACAUGAGGGCUCACACCUCCAUCCCCCUGCUGGGCUACCAGGUGACUGUUGGGCCCCAGGGGGACCCUCGGGUCUUCCAGUUACAGCAGUCAGGCCAGCUCUACACCUUCAAGGCCGAGACGGAGGAGCUGAAGGGCCGCUGGGUGAAGGCCAUGGAGCGGGCGGCCAGUGGCUGGAGCCCCAGCUGGCCCAACGACGGGGACCUGUCCGACUGAGCCACUGCCAGCCGCUCUCCUGCCCACCUCUCCCCACCCUGAACCCAGCUCCUGCCACAGACUGACCCUGUGGCCUCAGUGACCCACUGCCCCAAGUGGUGCUUUCAGAGAAUUGAUUCAGCCAUCUGCGCCCAGGCCACGUGUCCCAAUCUGGGAUUAGAAAAUAUGGGUCCAUUCCUUUCUAGAAAGGGGACAACCAAGUGUCUCAGUUUGCCUUGUGGGGAGGGGGCUCCUGGGCCUUGGGACUUCCAGUGCUAAAACUAGGAAAGCCCCAGGUAACCCCGGACUGGUGGUCACCAUAGUGUGGUUUUUCAUUUGUAUCUCCUGGGGAGCUUUUAAAGAGUACUGGUGAAAAACACAUAGUAAAUUAAUUUU
rnacentral:sRNA from 1 species